ACUUACGGUGAUCUUAGGGCUAUAUUCCACAAAGUCACAGUUAUAAGGUAGCUAAGCACUUACGGUGAUCUUAGGGCUAUAUUCCAAAAAGUCAUAGUUAUAUGGUAGCUAAUCACUUAAGGUGAUCUUAGGGCUAUAUUCCACAAAGUCAUAGUUAUAUGGUAGCUAAUCACUUAAGGUGAUCUUAGGGCUAUAUUCCACAAAGUCACAGUUAUAAGGUAGCUAAGCACUUAAGGUGAUCUUAGGGCUAUAUUCCACAAAGUCACAGUUAUAAGGUAGCUAAUCACUUAAGGUGAUCUUAGGGCUAUAUUCCACAAAGUCAGAGUUAUAGGGUAGCUAAGCACUUAAGGUGAUCUUAGGGCUAUAUUCCACAAAGUCACAGUUAUAAGGUAGCUAAACACUUAAGGUGAUCUUAGGGCUAUAUUCCACAAAGUCACAGUUAUAAGGUAGCUAAGCACUUAUGGUGAUCUUAGGGCUAUAUUCCACCAAGUCACAGUUAUAAGGUAGCUAAGCACUAACGGUGAUCUUAGGGCUAUAUUCCAC